CCUACGGGUGGCUGCAGUGAGGAAUAUUGGUCAAUGGACGCGAGUCUGAACCAGCCAAGUAGCGUGAAGGAUGACUGCCCUAUGGGUUGUAAACUUCUUUUAUAUGGGAAUAAAAUGGUCCACGUGUGGGAUUUUGUAUGUACCAUAUGAAUAAGGAUCGGCUAACUCCGUGCCAGCAGCCGCGGUAAUACGGAGGUUCCGAGCGUUAUCCGGAUUUGUUGGGUUUAAAGGGAGCGUAGGUGGAUAGUUAAGGCAGUUGUGAAAGUUCGCGGCUCAACCGUAGAAUUGCAGUUGAAACUGGCAUUCUUGAGUACAGUAGAGGUGGGCGGAAUUCGUGGUGUAGCGGUGAAAUGCUUAGAUAUCACGAAGAACUCCGAUUGCGAAGGCAGCUCACUGGACUGCAACUGACGCUGAGGCUCGAAAGUGUGGGUAUCAAACAGGAUUAGAUACCCUGGUAGUC
rnacentral:rRNA from 1 species